rnacentral:tRNA from 1 species
GUGUUGGUGGUAUAGUGGUGAGCAAAGCUGCCUUCCAAGCAGUUGACACAGCUCUGAUUCCUGGCCAACACA